GAACUGGACAAAUACGAGGGCUCAAAGGCAGAACUUGUUCUGAACGUGAUAAGCCUGCAUGAUGAUAUGUGGAGUCUGAGUUGUCAUUACACAUAUUCAAGAAACCCCAACGAGACCUUAGGAUCCAAUUGCGGACAUUCUCUUGAAACCAGCGGGGUAAAUCCCAGG